UUGGCCGGAGCGGGGCGGGAGGGGCAGAGCGCGGCGGGCAGCGAGUUGCCGCUGCCGGUCACCGCCUCAUCCUGGCGCCGCGGGGCUGGUUCGCCGUCUUUUCUUCUCGAGAGCUCCUGGAUUUCCUGUUGCUGCUUGAGAUGGGGCAAAGGAACGAGCCGAGCUGUGACCCGCUGCCUCCCUGCCCUGCAGAGCUGGAGCUGCGCUAGCAUCAGGUGGCAACAUGCCCCCCCAGGCCUGUCCCCACUUCCCCUGAAAGGCAGAAGGGUGCCCGAGGUGUCAGCAUCCCCUCCCGGCACAGGGAGCACAGGGAUAAAGCAGGAUUUUCUUACCAGUAAGGCUGAGAAUGAUAAACAUGGUGCACGUCCGUGGUAUUCUGCAGAUGUUCCCUGUAAAGUUCCUGCGUACAUCCCUAAAGCAUGCUCACCACUUAAAACUGUCUGACUCAAGUCACUGGAGUGGACGGAGAAAAGCCUGAGAGGAAGAAAAAGCACAGGUCAGCAGCAGCAGCCAGACUGGAAUCUCAAAGCAGAAAACCCAAACCUGUCCUAGCUCCCCAGCAGAAAGCCUCUCUGCAACCAGCCAGUGUGCAAGCAGCUUUGGCAUCCUCUUGCCAAAGCCACCACUACGCAGAAAGGACGAGGUGCCACACUGAAGAGCACAGAGUGUGACAACCAACAGCUGUGAAUAUAAACAGAGAGCACUUCAAGAAAAUAAGCACCUGCCUCAAGGCUGCAGUGUGCCCUUCUAAUGACAGAAGAAUGUGGUGCAGCCCUGGGGCACUGCAAAAACAGGACUCAUGGGCACAGCUAAUUGUAAAAUUAACGAAGGAGGAGCAGGAAGAGCUCAGAGGGAGACAGUGGAACAGCUUCAUCCAUCUGCCCGGUUCCUACUUGCCACAGGGGUGGGUAUUGAAGGAAAGCAGAACGAAUAUUUCAUGUUCAUCGUCUGUGCUUCAAGUAGAAUGCAACCUCAGGAGACCAUGAUGGCUUUAACAGGCAGGCAGACUUGGAUGUAAGAGCCUUUCUCAGCAAGGUCACCGCAUGAGUCAGCGCGGGGCCAGGAAUAGCGCUCAGGACCAGCACGGCUGUGCGGAGCUGGAGACAACAGGCUCUUCUUUGUCUCCUGGGAGUCACCGCCCCAGCCAGGGAGCUGUGCUCAGGCCAUCGGUUCAGCACAGUCUGUGCCACGAGCUUCAGAGAUAAAAUACACACUUCUUGGAUGCUGUUUCCUUUAAAAAAAAAAAAAAGCUGGCGAGACCAUGCCAUUCUCAGCGACUGCAUUCUGCUAUUUUGCCUGUAAACGAAGUCAGAUAUGUUCGUGCUGUUUGCUGCUCUUCCUUCUCCAAGUGUCUCCAUCAGCAGUCUGUUAAACUCAGUGGGAUGUCAGACAUUAGAUGGGAGGAAUGAUCCAGUUGUCAGGGCAUUAGCCUCUGGUUCAGCAGCAUGAUUCAAACUACUCCUCUGCCAAAGCCCACCUGUGUGUUCCUGGAAAAGUCACUUAAUCUUUCUUUCCUCUCUCUCUUUAUCUGAAAAGCUGGGUCAAGCAUAUAUCCUGAAGACUCAGGGGUCUUGUGAAAGUUGUGCUCCAGACUGCAGUGGCACUGGCUGUUGAAUACCGUAGUUAUCCUGGACAGGGAGUCUCUGCCUGGCAGAAGAUACGAGAUUUGCUGGAAAGGUGAAAAUGUGCUUUGGGGCUAAAUGGGAGAAGGUUGUCACUACAGCCUCCUGUGAUACCAUGGCAUAGGGAUGAGACUGACUGGUCCUAGGACACGGAGUUGAAAUUGUGUUACAGUAAAGUAUGAAUGCUGUGGCAGGGGAAUUUUGCUUGUGUCUGUGCAUAAUGCUCAGUAGCAGAUGAUGCUUACAAAAAUCAUCUGCCUCUGAAAGAAAAUGUUGUUAUGUUUUAUAGAGGCCAGACACCUGUUCUCUCAUGGACUGGUUGCUAGCAUUUAAAGAAAAGAAAAAAUCAGUUAUUUUAUAAAAUCCUUAACAUCCCUACCAAUGCCACAAGGCUCUUUUAUAUACAGGUUCCUUGUCUUCUGGGCACUGGGAAGAAUGAAAAAUACUUCAGGGGUUUCAC